rnacentral:misc_RNA from 1 species
GACUAACAUGUCAGCGCCCAUGUAUUUUACUGCUGGGAUUUGAGGCGAGAAAAGACUGUGCUAUGUCUGGAUUUAUUGCUGUUCAUCUAGGUGCAGGAUAUCAUUCCCCUGAGAGGAAAUGUGAAUACAAUGAUACUGUGAAUAAAGCAUGCCAACAGGCAAUAUCUCUGCUUAAAGAUGGUGCAAGUGCAGUGGAUGCAGUUUCUGUAGCAGUAUCAACACUUGAGGAUAGUCCCUGCACAAAUGCUGGCCUUGGAUCCAACCUGACUAUAGAGGGUAGUAUUGAGUGUGAUGCUGGAAUCAUGGAUGGAGACUCUCUGCAUUUUGGAGCUGUUGGUGCAUUAGGAGGAAUACGGAACCCAGUUAAAGUAGCCAAAGCUUUAUUGUGUGAACAGCGCAAAGGACUGAUGUCUUAUGGUCGAAUUCCACCAUGUGUAAUGGUUGGGAAUGGUGCCCUCCAGUGGGCUCGAGAUCAUGGUUUCAAGGAGGUCAACACAAGUGCCCUAAUCACACCAAAGGCUCUUUCUUCCUAUCGGAAACACAAGAGGGCGCUGUCAGAGUGUAGCACCUUGCCAUUAGAUCAGCAAGAAACAUCUCCAAAGAGAGUGAAGGGAGAUAGGACCCAAAUGACAGAGAGGGAUACCAUGCUAGACACAGUAGGUGCAGUAUGUGUGGACAGCAGAGGUCAAAUUGCCAGUGCCGUGUCCAGUGGGGGUAUAGCCCUUAAACACCCAGGGAGAGUAGGACAUGCAAUGUUUAUUGGUUGUGGAUGCUGGGCACAGUCCCACACACAGACAUCUUCGUCAGCGAGUGUUGGAUGCAGUACAUCAGGAAGCGGAGAGCAGCUUCUAAGGUGCAAUCUAGCCCGAACGUGUUGUGAGGGCCUCCUUCACAGUGAAGAUCCUACCUCAUCACUCGGCAGCACUUUUCAGGGUCAAUAUUUAAAAUCACCUCUCUUGCCUGAUGAUGCAGCAAGGCUUGGUGGAGCUAUUGCAGUCAGAUACAACCAUACAGACAGAGCUGCAGAGAUUCUCUGGACACACUCCACAGAUAGUCUCUGUCUGGGCUACAUGGACACCACACAGAUCAAAGCAAAGAUGGUGAUAUCAAGAUUACCUACAGGAGCCAAAGCAGGAUCCACCUAUACCCUAGGUGGAGCCACAGUUCACCUGCCUUUGAGUGAAGAACCACCUUGAUGAUGGCUAAACUACCUCCAUUAACUAAGGCUGUCAUACUCAUAAUCAUCUUGGAAUGGGUACUGUAAAGGUUAGGGACAGGUCAUGAGCCUGAGAAGGAGCCUCAGGUACCUGACAAGGAGCUUCUUGAUGGACAGACUCCAUGCUGUUUUCAUCACCUUAAGUUUGCAGGAGCAAUAACAAAUGAAAACCAACUCUUGUGAUAGAGCCAUAUGUUGCCCAAUGUGAGCCAGCUGGAGCACAAGCAGGAGCCCUUAGAAGCACAAGAGGACCCUGUCAAUGGUGAUUCUCCAUGCCAAUGCUCUUGUAUUCCUUCAAUUUUGAUGAUACUCCUGUUGUGGUGGUGUGUCAACAUUGCUCCUGCAGGAGCAAAGGUGUUCUCCACAGGGAGCCAUCUAAUCAAGUUGAACUAUAAUUGACAACACACAGCACCAUCUUGUUGAGCUCAUUUUGUGUUACAUCAUGGAGAGGAAUAGACAACAUUUAUCAGGUUAGUCUUUACAACAUACCCUAAAACAAAUAAAGAUGUUCUUUAAAUCAGAGAGAGGGCUGUUUCGUAAAAAUAAUCAAUAAAGUUAUGUAAAACUUUAUGAACACCCAGACCCCAUCAAACAAAGAGUUAUGAUAGAAUAUCAGUUGUGAUUUUAUAUGGUAAUGGUAUAUGGCAAUUCAAGUGUGCUUCUGAAUCAGUUUCAAUCACAUUAGUUAAAGUAAAAUCUGCUGAUGCUUUUCAGACUAACUUGCCUUGUUACUACGAUGUAUACUAUUUAUUUUUCACAAUUUGAAUUUAAG